rnacentral:rRNA from 1 species
GAUGAACGCUGGCGGCGUGCCUAAUACAUGCAAGUCGAGCGAACAGACGAGGAGCUUGCUCCUCUGACGUUAGCGGCGGACGGGUGAGUAACACGUGGAUAACCUCCCUAUAAGACUGGGAUAACUUCGGGAAUCCGGAGCUAAUACCGGAUAAUAUAUUGAACCGCAUGGUUCAAUAGUGAAAGACGGUUUUGCUGUCACUUAUAGAUGGAUCCGCGCCGCAUUAGCUAGUUGGUAAGGUAACGGCUUACCAAGGCAACGAUGCGUAGCCGACCUGAGAGGGUGAUCGGCCACACUGGAACUGAGACACGGUCCAGACUCCUACGGGAGGCAGCAGUAGGGAAUCUUCCGCAAUGGGCGAAAGCCUGACGGAGCAACGCCGCGUGAGUGAGGAAGGUCUUCGGAUCGUAAAACUCUGUUAUUAGGGAAGAACAAAUGUGUAAGUAACUAUGCACGUCUUGACGGUACCUAAUCAGAAAGCCACGGCUAACUACGUG